rnacentral:sRNA from 1 species
AUGUGUAUGUAUAUGUGUGUAUAGGUGUAUGUGUAUGUAUAUGUGUGUGUAGUCUAAAGUACUGGGCAGGUUUGGAGUUGUGCUUCUUGUUCAGCUAUCUUAUGCAUAGCAUGUAAAUGGUAUGUAUUUCCUACACAUUAGGAAAUAGUUUCAUGAAAACCAUCCUGUGUGGAGUCAAAACACUGCAGAUGGGCCAAGUCCUUUUUUUUUUUUUCGGAGCUGGGGACCGAACCCAGGGCCUUGCACUUGCUAGGCAAGCGCUCUACCACUGAGCUAAAUCCCCAACCCCAGGCCAAGUCCUUCUUUACAUGAGGGAAAGGGAGCAUCCAGAACUUAGAACACUGAUGUUAAGGCGUUGGAAAACAACAUCUAGGCAGUUCAGCAAAGUUGGUAGGGCAUGGUCUAGUGCGAUCAGGAUCUAGUGCGUGGCAAGAACUGGCCAGUCAGCUGCACACAGGAAAAACCCACUCUUGGCCGCAGGAUGCCUCACCAACCCUGGACAGCUACCAUGCAGAUUUGUACUCUCAGCCAAAGAAAGCCUGGGCGAUCGACUGUAAAUUAGUUGUUGUAAUCCACGCUCCAUCUGGGUAAGGACCCAAAGCUCAUGCUCAACUGAUAAGUAUGUCAUCUUUCUUUAAUCAACAGGACACCUGGCUAAACAGGACAUGGCUAACUGAUGACAAAAUUAGAGAUUCAACAUCACUUGGUGAAUUCUUAUCAUACCAUGGUAGUCAUUUCUUUCUAGGUUUACUUAGUUUGUAUGCUUGACUGUUUUGCCUGCAUGCAUAUGCACUGCCUGAGUUCCUACAGGUGGCUGUGAGCCAACAUGUGGGUGCUGGUAAUUGAACCCAGGCCCCAGAACAAGUGCCCCUAACCUUUGGGCUUUCUUCUUAUUAGUCAUUUCUGCCAGAAGCUGUUAAUAUUGAGUAAUAGGACCUGAUGGUGGGUACAGCUAUCGUCACCGAGUGUGUCCAUACUUCAUCCAUCCAUCCAUGACCUCUGCAUCCCACAAGUACAGAGGCUGACCUGAAUAAGGUCAUGGUCCAAGGUGCACCUCACAGUAGAGGAAGUGAGCGAGGCCAUGAGAGAUAACUAAUACGCCAGCUCUUAGCAGCUUUUCUAUUUCAAAUUAAGAUCAUCCCUCAGACUAGCCUCCCCAGCAGAAGGACCGAGCACCCCCACAUUAACCAAAGCUGGGCUCUGCUCCAGUCAACUGCUCACGCCUGGCCAUUCUGUCAGGCAAGCAAGUCAGCUGAAUGCGUUGACACAAAGGCCCAUUUCAUAAUACAUUCUCUCAUUUGGCAGUUGAAAUGACACUGACACUCAAGUCUUUACUGGACAAAUCUCUGCUUCUGUCAAACACAUUAGAAGGCCUGAAUUAGUUCAUGACAAACUUUGAGACACUAUUUUUAAAUUAAUGGCACCAACAAAUGUAAAGAAAGAUUGCUACCUACUACCAAGCAGCUACUUUACUUGCAUCCUCUAACAACUCCUAUGGGACAGCCAGCAUCCAAGCUUACAGAUGAGAAAACUAACACUUAGCAGUUAUAUAACCUGCCCAGUGUCACACAGCCAGGAGGUAGGAGGACUGGGAUUUGGGCUCAGACAAACCUGUUUUGAGAGGCCAGAUCAACUUAGUUUCCAAGGGAUGGAGAGGAGAAAUCCCUGUGGCUACCAGGACCUAUGCAAUGCUACAUUUGAGGGCUGGGAGGUAGCCCUGAAGCUGUCCCUCAGGGUUGUUUCUACUCAGCCUCAACUCUGCUCCCUCUCCUUUGCUUUCCAGAAUAAAGCAGCCUUGCAGCUAAGCUGAGAAGACGUCGGCACUCAGCUUGGCACUUGCUUUGUUAGUUGAUGUGUAGUUUUAGAAAGAAGACCUCCCAAAGUAGGAACGUGUGAGGAAAAAUUGUUAUUUUUAAGGUGGCAAGAAUAAAUAUUUAAUUAGACACUUUGACAUUACAUUUUGCCUGGCCUUGCAACAUCUCAGACAAUAAAAAAAGCCUUUGUCUACAAGGCUAAUUACAGACUACUAAAUUAUUUUUAUUACAGCCCUUUAUACUAUUAAGUGUGACAAACAUAGCAUGGUGGCGGUGUAGAAUAGCACUAGUCUGGAAAUGUGAGUUCUAAUCCUGACUCAGAUACUAAUAACCACUAACAGUCAUCUGCAUGGUGUACACAGUUGACAGUGCUCUCACAUACCUUCUACAUUAGUUAAGUCACCUUGGGGCAAAUCACUUAACUCUUAGUGUCUCGUGUCAAAACCUAGAAAUGAGAACAUUAGGACAUUUUCUGUCCUGUCCAGUCCCAACCUGUGUCUAAGGUCCUAACGAACGUUUCUAUAAAUGAACCAGAGCUCAUGCAUUUUGGCCCAAAUAUUCAGAUCUUCUACUCAGUUUCUGAAAAAAGAAAUGGUGCUUGCUUAAGUUUGGGGCUAAUUCAUAAGAUGCUUGCUUCCAGAUGUUUGCUGGAUUUCUGGAGUGUGUCCUAUUAUGGCUCUGAGUUGGACUCCCAUGUGGGAACUGUUUUGUUCAUUAACAAGCAUGCCUAAGCCUAGCUAAUCACCUAAACCCACAAGGAGCAAGAGCUCGGAGAAAGGUGUCAGAGAUCCCCACCUUGACAGUGCAUGGGCUGUUAGGGGGAGCAGCCCUGGCAUCUUCACAGAAAUGGGAACAGCAUUCUAACUUGAAGACACACAAAUAUCUCCCCUUGGAGGCUUGCUACUUCCUGCUUCUGAUGUAGUUCGGAAUACACACACACACACACACACACACACACACACACACACACUUACUUCACCUAAAAGCUGUGGAUAAAUUACAGGUUUGUCUCAAGAUCAAGGAAACGCAGUCCUAUAAAACCAUAACAUGUCACUCAGCUCUAGGUCUGACUUGUGCAAAUCAUACCUCUCUCCCUGAUCUUAACAAUUACCUACAAUAGCAGCUGGCUAGGUGCACAAGAGAGGUCUCCGUCUUGCUUCUUAAGAGGACCGGUUUAUAAAGCAUUCAGUCAUUAGCUCAUAAAACACUGGUAUGGAUUUCAAAGACAAAUUAACCCACAUAGAAGCCAGUCUGAUGCUCUGAAAGGGCACUAUCCCACAGCAAGCUGCAAACGGAACAUUGCACCUCACACUUGCCUGGUCUCUCUCUAGCCUUGACACAUUUCCUUGCUCAAUUCACCACCCUCCACCCCAGUAAUAACACUGAUUCCCAAAAUACACUCGGCCCAAGAAGAGCAGCUCUCCAGCACAGCUGUCUCCUUCUGCCCUCCUCGGGUAUUUGGGCGAGCUAUGUGACACAGAGAGGACCAGAAGAAGGAAUGUUAACUCCCAGGCCCCGGAGCUCCCACUGCACCACAGGCAGGCGCAUCCCGCCAAACCCCAGACUGGCAUUCCAAACAGAACAAACUCUACUGUUGGAUGGAGGCUGUCAUCUUCCUGAACUUCAUCUCUAUGUUUAAAACUAGGGCGACAGCCGUCUUUGCUACUGUAAACUAAUCUGAUGGGCAUGGGGGCAGGGAGUGGCCCGGAGGAGGCUGCCAAUAGGCCAUGAGUGAGCAAAGUCUAAGUAAGAGCUUUGCCCCCAAUCACUGUUUGCAACCUUAGAAACUCCUAAUGAGUGGGUAGUUCCCAGUGAGUUUUAGGAGUGGACCAUGCCCUCCUUUGUAGCCUGGAGCUAAACAAAUAAACAAAAAAUCCCAAACAAACCCAAAGCCUCUUAUUCAUCGGAACUGCCUUAUACUACAUUGAAAUCUAUGAGAGGAAAAAAAAAAAAAAAAGGAAUCACUGGAAGCUGGCAUUGAGGUACACACAGUAGUUAGGAGCCCUCGAGUUCAGGCAUGUCUGUGAAGAACUUUCUGGUUAUGAGCACAGACUAACUUCAGCCGAGUUUCUUGCUGGGAAAAAGAAAAUAGCACGGGACUCUAUUUCGACACUAGGUACUGUAAGCUUGUAGGUGGCUAACACAACCCUGGGAAUCGCCCCCACCUUGCAACAGCCCCCACCGAGGCUCAGAGCUGUGGGAAGUAGGGAUACAGGCCUCAGAGCCAUGAGGGACUCUCAACUGCCCCUCCUCUCCACUCUGCUUAGACUGUCAAAACCCACUAUUUGCAUGGUUGGUUUCUCCAUCAAAUUUACAGGUAUCGGAAAUCAAGUCCUGCCAAAGCCCCUCGUACAUUCAGUAAGUACUUGCUGCAAAUAUUACAGGUCUGUCUUCAAACCUCGCAUAUACCAAGGUUAUAAUGCGACUCUUUAAAGCGAAGACAUUUAAAGAGUCCGGAAAGACGCUUAUUCACACGCUCACACACACACAACGUACCGGAAGCACAAGAACUUAAGCUCCCAAAUCAACCAUGUCCCCCUCCCUCCACUCCUUUCUCAUCCCUGCACAGUGUGGCCAGGGCAGUGGUUCAGCACACAAGAAGGCCACCACGCACGAGCUCAGUGCACCAAUAGUAUAGCUGAUCACAACGUAGCUUGACCCUUCUCAGCAAAAUCUGUUCCUAAAGCCGUGCCGGCUCUCUGCAGCUACUUAGAACUAUCCAGGCCUGCUUUCCUACGCCAAUUCUGGCACGAGCGGUUCAGGAGCAGGUGGACCUUGCCCAGACCUCCCAGUAAGCUGCCACUGGAUCAGAGGGAUGGAUCAACGCCAUUCUCCUAGCAACGGAAGCGUCACAUAAUUGCUGCCAGGGAAGCUUUCUGCCAGGCUACCUCUUCUUGAAAAAACACAACAGAAGCGGAGUGAGAAGUAGCUACAGUUUAAUACAAACCUGCACCAGAA